AGGGAAUCUUCGGCAAUGGACGGAAGUCUGACCGAGCAACGCCGCGUGAGUGAGGAAGGCCUUCGGGUCGUAAAGCUCUGUUGCCAGGGAAGAACGCCGAGGGGAGGGAAUGCCCCUUGGGUGACGGUACCUGAGAAGAAAGCCCCGGCUAACUACGUGCCAGCAGCCGCGGUAAUACGUAGGGGGCAAGCGUUGUCCGGAAUUAUUGGGCGUAAAGCGCGCGCAGGCGGUACAUUAAGUCUUGUGUUUAACUCCAGGGCUCAACCCUGGCACGCAUGGGAAACUGGUGUACUGGAGUGCAGGAGAGGAAAGCGGAAUUCCACGUGUAGCGGUGAAAUGCGUAGAGAUGUGGAGGAACACCAGUGGCGAAGGCGGCUUUCUGGCCUGCAACUGACGCUGAGGCGCGAAAGCGUGGGGAGCAAAC
rnacentral:rRNA from 1 species